rnacentral:rRNA from 1 species
GAUGAACGCUGGCGGCGUGCCUAAUACAUGCAAGUCGAGCGAACAGACGAGGAGCUUGCUCCUCUGACGUUAGCGGCGGACGGGUGAGUAACACGUGGAUAACCUACCUAUAAGACUGGGAUAACUUCGGGAAACCGGAGCUAAUACCGGAUAAUAUAUUGAACCGCAUGGUUCAAUAGUGAAAGACGGUUUUGCUGUCACUUAUAGAUGGAUCCGCGCCGCAUUAGCUAGUUGGUAAGGUAACGGCUUAUCAAGGCAACGAUGCGUAGCCGACCUGAGAGGGUGAUCGGCCACACUGGAACUGAGACACGGUCCAGACUCCUACGGGAGGCAGCAGUAGGGAAUCUUCCGCAAUGGGCGAAAGCUUGACGGAGCAACGCCGCGUGAGUGAUGAAGGUCUUCGGAUCGUAAAACUCUGUUAUUAGGGAAGAACAAAUGUGUAAGUAACUGUGCACGUCUUGACGGUACCUAAUCAGAAAGCCACGGCUAACUACGUG